AUGGGAAAUCGUUUGUCAAAGCAUGAUUGUCUGUAUAUUGAGGUUUCUCUUAAGAAUUAUGGAUCAUCAAUUCAAGAUUUCUUGUUUUUAUGGGAAAAGCAUUGGUCACCAAAGUCGCAGCGCUGGCGAGAUACGGUGUUCUACCGGGAGCCAUGGUGGCGGCGCUCGUCUACUCUCCUCCUAAUUACGCUGACAAACACGCCUCCGCCACCGGGAAUUAGGUGCACGAGGGUUACAUGA